rnacentral:lncRNA from 1 species
GGACACAUAAGUGGUGAGGAGUAAGAACAACCCACCUUAGUAUGCAGCACAGCACAACCUUAUGGCAUUCUCUUGGGAGAUAAGUGAUGCUGGUUCUAGUUCCCCCAGGCAGAGGAGGAAAUUAAACCCAGGACUCCCACAUCCUUUAUGAGCGAAUAAAAAGUGGCUGUCUUCCUCUCAGCUUUGUGAAUAUAAUCGUGAUAUUUUCUUCCGGGGAAUCAAUUUGGUAAGUCCACGCUGAAUUCAACAAUCAUUUUGGGACAAUGGAAAAAAAAAGCAAACAUUUUUCAAUGAGAAGGAUGCUGGCUAAAAAAACAUUCUAUUGACUGUAGUGGCAGUACAACAACCAGACAGACCCCAUCACUCUGCCACUUUAUAUCCAGCAGCUGUAGGACAGGAAACUCUCAUACUUGCAGACAGCGGAGGAACUUACCUGGCAAUGUGAAAUCUUGCUAGGAAAAAAGGGUUGUGCGGGAGUAAUGAAAUCCUCUGGGAAUGGCAGAUGAAACCUGAACACCGGUGGGACUGCCUUGAGUUCUGACACAAUUACCACAGUGCAUAAGAAAAACCUGCAAAGAACAGGCUCACUCCGAGGGCUGAGAUGUGACCAGUGUCCCAGUUAUUAUUAGCUACUAAAGGUCUGAAAAGGUUCAAACUCCAUCUUUGUAGGAAUUCAAACAGAGGGAUGCAUGAGGCCUUGCUGACGGCUUCCAGACUGAAAAAGAAAGCGGAGGGAAAAGGGGCAUUUCUCUGACCUUCCUCGGUGAUUGCUCAGAACUGUGUCUACUGAUGGCCGUGUCCAACACCGACAAGAAGAGGCAAGAGAAGUCAAAAUCUGAGGAGUGAGAUGUUCUGCUAGCACAGAAAAGCCACCUGGAGAAACAAAAACAAAUGUCACACAGCUGCGAGUGGGAGAAAUGCUAUUGUUUUCCUGGUAGCCCGUCCUUCCAGUCUUCUGAGAGAAGCGGGGGAAGGAGGAUUUGACCCUCACUGAGUGAAGGAGUUGCUGAUUUAGUCAAGUCAAGAACAGGAUGCGACGCUUUGGUCUAGUGCAUUGACAUUUGCAUCUCUGAGUGAGAAUGCUUAUUUUCAUUGGAGG